ACGGGUGAGUAAUGCCUAGGAAUCUGCCUGGUAGUGGGGGAUAACGUUCGAAACGGACGCUAAUACGCAUACGUCCUACGGGAGAAAGCAGGGACCUUCGGGCCUUGCGCUAUCAGAUGAGCCUAGGUCGGAUUAGCUAGUUGGUGAGGUAAUGGCUCACCAAGGCGACGAUCCGUAACUGGUCUGAGAGGAUGAUCAGUCACACUGGAACUGAGACACGGUCCAGACUCCUACGGGAGGCAGCAGUGGGGAAUAUUGGACAAUGGGCGAAAGCCUGAUCCAGCCAUGCCGCGUGUGUGAAGAAGGUCUUCGGAUUGUAAAGCACUUUAAGUUGGGAGGAAGGGCAGUUACCUAAUACGUGAUUGUUUUGACGUUACCGACAGAAUAAGCACCGGCUAACUCUGUG
rnacentral:rRNA from 1 species